UCUCCGUUGGUGAACCAGCGGAGGGAUCAUUACUGAGUUUCCAAGACGCGAAGCCCUUCGCAGGCCCGACCUGUCGUGUCCGCCCGAGUGCCCCCACACGGAACCAUGGGACCCCUAUGUGCACCACCCCGUGGCUCCCCCUUUGGCUUGUUCGGAGGAGGGCUUACGUUUUCACACCAACUUUGUAUGCAAUGGAGCAUGUAAUUUUUGCUUUUGUGAUCACCCCAGCAAUUCAACUUUCAACAACGGUUAACUUGGCUCCCGCAUCGAAGAAGAACC
rnacentral:misc_RNA from 1 species